AUGAUAAACCUUUUCAAGAUCAAGGGGCAGAAGAACGAAGAGGCAGCCAACUCGAAAGGGGGGCCUCCCGUCAAGAAGCAAAGUCCUGGGGAAUUACGUCUCCAUAAAGAUAUUGCUGAACUUAACCUUCCAAAGACAACUAAAAUUUCCUUUCCAAAUGGAAAGGAUGAUCUCAUGAACUUUGAAGCCACUCUACGACCUGAUGAAGGAUACUACGUAGGUGGGACAUUUACUUUCACCUUCCAAGUAUCUCCUUCCUACCCUCACGAGGCUCCGAAGGUCAAGUGCAAGACCAAGGUUUACCAUCCUAAUAUUGACCUAGAAGGAAAUGUCUGCCUGAACAUUCUGCGUGAAGACUGGAAGCCUGUCUUGAACAUCAACACCAUAAUAUAUGGCUUAAACCUUCUUUUCUCACAACCCAAUGACGAGGACCCCUUGAAUCAUGAAGCCGCGGCCGUCCUCCGAGACAACCCACAGAAGUUCCAGAGAAAUGUUCAAACGGCGAUGUCGGGAGGCUAUGUUGAUAACACCCAUUUCCCAAGGUGCAAGUAA
rnacentral:rRNA from 1 species